rfam:Aedes albopictus isolate Foshan contig3671, whole genome shotgun sequence.
UGCCCAGCAACUCCUAUCUCUACCUCCUCGCGGUACCGGCCGGAAACUAUGAGCAACCUUAGGGAAGA